rnacentral:piRNA from 1 species
CAAUAUCACUGAGCCUGCGAUCUAUA